CUACGGGCUGCUCCAGUGGGGAAUAUUGGACAAUGGACCAAAAGUCUGAUCCAGCAAUUCUGUGUGUUUGAUGAAGGCCUUCGGGUUGUAAAGAACUUUAAGUAGGGAAGAAGAAAGUGACGGUACCUACAGAAUAAGCGACGGCUAAAUACGUGCCAGCAGCCGCGGUAAUACGUAUGUCGCAAGCGUUAUCCGGAAUUAUUGGGCAUAAAGCGCGUCUAGGCGGUUUACUAAGUCUGAUGUGAAAAUGCGGGGCUCAACUCCGUAUUGCGUUGGAAACUGGUAGACUAGAGUAUUGGAGAGGUAGGCGGAACUACAAGUGUAGAGGUGAUAUUCGUAGAUAUUUGUAGGAAUGCCAAUGACGAAGGUAGCUUACUGGACAAAUACUGACGCUGAAGCGCGAAAGCUAGGGGAGCAAACAGGAUUAGAUACCCGCGUAGUC
rnacentral:rRNA from 1 species